AGUGAACGCUGGCGGUAGGCCUAACACAUGCAAGUCGAACGGCAGCACAGUAAGAGCUUGCUCUUACGGGUGGCGAGUGGCGGACGGGUGAGGAAUACAUCGGAAUCUACUUUUUCGUGGGGGAUAACGUAGGGAAACUUACGCUAAUGCCGCAUACGACCUACGGGUGAAAGCAGGGGAUCUUCGGACCUUGCGCGAUUGAAUGAGCCGAUGUCGGAUUAGCUAGUUGGCGGGGUAAAGGCCCACCAAGGCGACGAUCCGUAGCCGGUCUGAGAGGAUGAUCAGCCACACUGGAACUGAGACACGGUCCAGACUCCUACGGGAGGCAGCAGUGGGGAAUAUUGGACAAUGGGCGCAAGCCUGAUCCAGCCAUACCGCGUGGGUGAAGAAGGCCUUCGGGUUGUAAAGCCCUUUUGUUGGGAAAGAAAAGCAGCAGGUUAAUACCCCGCUGUUCUGACGGUACCCAAAGAAUAAGCACCGGCUAACUUCGUG
rnacentral:rRNA from 1 species